UAUCAUCUGUUCUCACACAGCAACUACAUGUUCAGACUGUUAAUAAACUACCUCUUCAGACUAACUGAGCAUGCACCUUUCACUUUGGAAAGUGAAAGGGCUGGAAAUUUGCCAUCCUGAAGGUCAACUGUGCUCUUGAGAAAUGGGGUGGAAUGGAGGAGAGUAACAGGAGAAAUGUUGGAAAUGGAAGCUAAAUGUUGAAAAUUCAAGAGGACUGCAGAUACGAAGGACUUUCAACUGUACAUUUAGAGAAGGACUAAACAUUUGGAGAAGACUGCCGAAAGGGGGGCAGGCUCACUGCCUGCACUUGAGUUAUUUUUUCAGUUGUCGCUGGACACUUAUGUAAAGCUUCACUCUUUCUCUGUUUGUUGUUUUAAUUAAACUUAAAGCAAUUUUGCUGCUCUCCAUCUACUGCUUUUUCUGAAAGCAGAUGAACUGACUGAAUACGGUGUUCUUUUCUGGUACUGAAUUAUAAUGCUUCAUAAUGUGAGUCCACUACCAGAGUACUUAAACUAAAUAAUGUCAACCUAGUUUACGGGGAAUCUAUUUCGGAAGGAUACUGCUUAAAUUUUACACAACACAGAUGGUGAUUUUUAUUUUUAUCCUCUGUUGUAAUGAUAAUUUGUACCAACAGUUUUAAACUUUUAAUCUAAGAAGGUUGUCAGUCCAAAGAUUGGUCAAAAUUAGGACAAAAGUAAAUUUUUGACCCUUCAGCAAAUCUAGAUAUCUAGUCCUGCAAAAACUAACCUGUAGUUGAAUAUUUUUAGGAAAUAAAGAUAGAAGGUGGCAUGGAGAUGACAGUUUAUAAAUUUUUCCUCUAUGGAAGCAGAGCACAUUAAAAUUGCAAGUGAUAAAGUUUUUUUUGCUUGUUUGCUUUUUGUCAUGCAGUAGGAAACAUUCUGAGUGACUCCAGCAUUGUUUUUCUCUUGUCAACAAGAUCAUUUGAAGAAAAAUAGUUGUGUUUCUAAAAUAAUAGUCUCUCCUGUCAAAGAACUGCUGAAUACUUGGUUCUGCUACAAGGAUUUUUAUGAGAGGAGCAAGAAUAAUUUAGAAACAUCAAGAAAAAACUGGCUAUGCUUGGAUGUUUAGAGAAUCUACACUGUCUGUUUAGCUAUAAAUGUGCUGUGGCAGUCAGGAACACUUGCCAAACCUCACUGCAACCAAACUCCGCUUUACUUUAAAAGGCUUUAUUGUUUUUUUGGUUGUUGUGUUGUUGUUGUUGUUGUUGUUUUUUUUAGAGGAACUGACUCUGACUUAAUUUAUCAUAUAGCUUCUUCAUAAUCUGGGUAUUCAAAAAAUAAAGAUGAGUCUCAAAGAAGA